AUACUUACGUGGCAGGGGAGUUACCUUGAUCACGAAGGAGGUUUUCCCACAGUGAGGCUUAUCCACAGCACUCCGGAUGUGCUGACCCCUACAAUUUCUCCAAAUGUGGGAAAUUUGGCUGCAUAAUUUGUGGUAUCGUUGAACUGUAUUGUAUAACUGAAUU